rnacentral:lncRNA from 1 species
UGGGUUAAUGCUAAUUGCUAAAUUUAUCUACUAGGCUUCACUAGUACAGAUCCUCCUAUUUGUGACGGCCUCUCACAUAACUGGGUUAAUACCCGAUUGAGAUAACUUUUUACAUCAGUGACGUUUGCUUAAUGAUGGUAGCCCUUCCCGACACUGAUGAGGUUGUCCGCCCGAUUGAGAUGGCCUGUCCCGUGCUAGUGCUUGUACUCUGUAC